UGGGGAAUCUUGCACAAUGGGGGCAACCCUGAUGCAGCGACGCCGCGUGAGCGAUGAAGCCCUUCGGGGCGUAAAGCUCUUUCGACCGGAACGAUAAUGACGGUACCGGGAGAAGAAGCUGCGGCUAACUACGUGCCAGCAGCCGCGGUAAUACGUAGGCAGCAAGCGUUGUUCGGAGUUACUGGGCGUAAAGAGUGCGUAGGCGGUGUUCUAAGUUCGGUGUGAAAUCUCCCGGCUUAACUGGGAGGGUGCGCCGAAGACUGGGAAGCUGGAGUGUGGGAAAGGCAGGCGGAAUUCCUGGUGGAGCGGUGAAAUGCGUAGAUAUCAGGAGGAACACCGGCGGUGUAGACGGCUUGCUAGACCAUAACUGACGCUGAGGCACGAAAGCGUGGGUAGCAAACA
rnacentral:rRNA from 1 species